rnacentral:sRNA from 2 species
UGAAAUGAGCGCUAGGGUUCCGGUCGCGGCUGCCGAUGUUUCGGUCGCCGCGGCGCCUGGUCCAAGAGCGGUCGGCCUUCGGCGGCGGUUUACCGUCUGAGGCUCCACGGCGGGACAAAAGCCCGGGAGGU